CCGCCGCAGUAACACAUGCAAGUCGAACGGAGCUUUUAGGAAUUCUUCGGAAUGAGAAUUAGCUUAGUGGCGAACGGGUGAGUAACACGUAGACAACUUACCUUCGAGUUGGGGACAACAUUCCGAAAGGGGUGCUAAUACCGAAUGAAGCCCAUGGAUCGCAUGAUUCGUGGAUGAAAGGUGGCCUCUGAAUAUGCUAUCGCUCGAAGAAAGGUGUGCGCCUGAUUAGCUAGUUGGAGGGGUAAUGGCCCACCAAGGCAACGAUCAGUAGCCGGUCUGAGAGGACGAACGGCCACACUGGGACUGAGACACGGCCCAGACUCCUACGGGAGGCAGCAGUGGGGAAUCUUCCGCAAUGGACGAAAGUCUGACGGAGCGACGCCGCGUGGGUGAAGAAGGCCUUCGGGUUGUAAAGCCCUGUCAUUAGGGACGAAACGUACUGGGAAUAAUAAGUUCAGUACUUGACGGUACCUAAGGAGGAAGCCCCGGCUAACUACGUGCCAGCAGCCGCGGUAAGAC
rnacentral:rRNA from 1 species